GUGCUUACUUUAGCAGCACAUAUGGUAAAAUUGUAAUGAUAUAGAGAUGAUUAGCAUGGGCCCUGCACAAGGAUAACACAUGAAUUUGUGAAGCAUUCCAAAUUGUU
ensembl:snRNA U6 U6 spliceosomal RNA